rnacentral:rRNA from 1 species
AUUGAACGCUGGCGGCAUGCUUUACACAUGCAAGUCGAACGGCAGCGCGGGCUUCGGCCUGGCGGCGAGUGGCGAACGGGUGAGUAAUGCAUCGGAACGUGCCCGGUAGUGGGGGAUAGCCCGGCGAAAGCCGGAUUAAUACCGCAUACGACCUGAGGGUGAAAGCGGGGGACCGAAAGGCCUCGCGCUAUUGGAGCGGCCGAUGUCGGAUUAGCUAGUUGGUGGGGUAAAGGCUUACCAAGGCGACGAUCCGUAGCUGGUCUGAGAGGACGACCAGCCACACUGGGACUGAGACACGGCCCAGACUCCUACGGGAGGCAGCAGUGGGGAAUUUUGGACAAUGGGGGCAACCCUGAUCCAGCCAUGCCGCGUGCGGGAAGAAGGCCUUCGGGUUGUAAACCGCUUUUGUUCGGGAAGAAAUCCUCUGGGCUAAUACCCCGGGGGGAUGACGGUACCGGAAGAAUAAGCACCGGCUAACUACGUG